UUGGACCGAAUAAAGCCCUUAAGGUCGAUCCCUCAGCAACUCCUUCUGGAAUAGGAGAGAACCUGUUGCUUCUCUUUCUUAAAAGAUAUGGCCCAUGAUGAGGUGGUGGAAACGUUGCUUGAACUAGAGUGCGCUAAAGCUUCGAUUAAGCUGUAAUGACUCCCUUGGUUCGGUUGUUUUGUGGUGUCUUCUUUAUGCUAUAUUGUUGUUGCUGAUUUUGUGGUGUUGGAGUAUUGAAAUUAUUGGUCUAAUGUUCUUAUUGAUCUGGUUUGCUUGGCUUGUAUCUCUUUUCUCUUAUAUGAAAAUGUCU
rnacentral:lncRNA from 1 species